AAAGAAUGUUUAAACAUUCAUUCACAUAGUUUUAAAUAGAUUAACACUGCAGACCACAUAUCAUCAGUGUUGAUGCACAUUCUCACCAGUGGCUCAUAAUCUAGUUAAUUUCUCAAUAAUUACCAUUGAUCAAUAAUUCGUAAAUAGAUAAGAAAUUGAAGGGAAAAAAGCAGGUUCAUUGAUGAAGAUGAAUACUCCUUGAAUGCUAUCUCAAAAAAAAAAAAAAAAUGU
rnacentral:misc_RNA from 1 species